CUCCUUGAUAGGUAGGGGGCAGGGCUGCAUUGGGGGGGGGGGGGGGGGGGGGGGGGGGGGGGGGGGGUGGAAUGCCAACUCUCGCGAGGCUGGUGCAGUCAUACGUGUGCUGCUCACGUUCCAGAUGGCCAGAUUCUGUACCUGGCUCCUGGCUGCCCCUGGCGCCAUCUUGAAUCGCUGUGAGGCGGUUUGAGCGAAGGUGUCUGAGCUGCGGUUCUGUUCUGGAAGCUCUAAUCCGACACUGUAGGCUCAAGACCUUUGCAUACAGCCCUCUACAGAUAACUGAACAUAUCUAAUCAAGUUUCUUUGCCUUUGAAACUUUGGUUUCUACAGGUCCAUGAGGGCAGGGAUUUCAUCUCUUUUGUUCACAACUGUAUAUCCAGAGUUUAGAGUGGACUUUGAAGAGGAAAAACAUUCGGCAGAGAGGAAAGAAACAGAAUACAUAUAUAAAUAGAGAGAGUGAAGAAGUGGAAAUCAUUGAUUCAUCAUAAAGUCAACACUCUGUAAGUAUUGACAUAGAUCAAAAAUAGAACAUUGUAUCAGUAUAGAAGUCUCUCUUUUGCCACAUUCUUGGUACAGCCAUGCUGUCUCACAAAUACAACCAUGCUCCUGUCAUUUGCAGUAAUCCUCUGCUUACUUUCCUGCAUAGUUUUACCACAUAGCAAUC
rnacentral:lncRNA from 1 species